CUCUUGCGCGUUCUCUGUUCUGCACCUCCUCCCCUUAGCCGCCGGCGCGGCUGCUCCGAGGUUCAGGUACUGCACCUCCCAUCCUCCCCGGCGGUGCCGCCUGUACGCAGGUGGCACCACUCCACCUGUGACGCUCGGCGGUGAAGGCGCCAUCAGCAUCGGACAACACCGCGUGAGAGCUCCCCGUGCCUACAAAACUGUAUGGCAAUGUACUCCAUUGGUUAGAGGCAAUUAGUGGUUUGGUUUGUGGCUAGACAGGUAACUAGCAGUGGUUGCAUUUUUUUUUGGCCUCAUGAUGGCAUGAUGCGAGAGUACAUUUUGCUUAGUACUGGUUUACAUGCACGCAAGCCGUCCGCUUGAGACGGAAGUUUGAGGAUGGUCUGUCGUGUGAUGUGCGAGGGAUUAAUUAGCUCCACAUUUGUAUUCCAUGAAAAAUGGGACCAAAGAAACUAAUUGCGGCACGGUCGUGCACUUAGCUGCGA